rnacentral:rRNA from 1 species
AAAUUGAAGAGUUUGAUCAUGGCUCAGAUUGAACGCUGGCGGCAGGCCUAACACAUGCAAGUCGAGCGGUAGCACAGAGAGCUUGCUCUCGGGUGACGAGCGGCGGACGGGUGAGUAAUGUCUGGGAAACUGCCUGAUGGAGGGGGAUAACUACUGGAAACGGUAGCUAAUACCGCAUAACGUCGCAAGACCAAAGUGGGGGACCUUCGGGCCUCAUGC